UACGAAGGUGGCAAGCGUUGUUCGGAUUUACUGGGCGUACAGGGAGCGUAGGCGGUUGGAUAAGUCCUCCGUGAAAUCUCCAGGCUUAACCUGGAAAGUGCAGAGGGGACUGUUCAGCUAGAGGAUGGGAGAGGAGCGCGGAAUUCCCGGUGUAGCGGUGAAAUGCGUAGAGAUCGGGAGGAAGGCCGGUGGCGAAGGCGGCGCUCUGGAACAUUUCUGACGCUGAGGCUCGAAAGCGUGGGGAGCAAACAGG
rnacentral:rRNA from 1 species